rnacentral:pre_miRNA from 1 species
AAUAAAUACAGUUUUACACUAUUCAUGUUCAAUGUUUGACCGUUUGCCUUAUUUGAAAAAUUUUUAUUGCUAUUAGAUGAUAAAACAUGAAUAGUACUCUAUGUGUGACUAAAUAUCUUUAAAUUUUUCACAAAUUUUUUAAAUAAGACGGACGGUCAAACGUUGGGCACAGAUAUCCACGGCUGCACUUAUU